rnacentral:rRNA from 1 species
UACAGAGGGUGCGAGCGUUGUCCGGAAUCACUGGGCGUAAAGGGCGCGUAGGCGGCUUCUUAAGCGUGUGGUGAAGCGCGGGGCUCAACCCCGCGUCGGCCGUGCGAACUGGGGAGCUGGAGCACGUCAGAGGCAGGCGGAAUUCCGGGUGUAGCGGUGGAAUGCGUAGAGAUCCGGAAGAACACCGGUGGCGAAGGCGGCCUGCUGGGACGUGGCUGACGCUG